CGUGCUUAACACAUGCAAGUCGAGCGGUAAGGCCCUUUCGGGGGUACACGAGCGGCGAACGGGUGGGUAACACGUGGGUAACCUGCCCUCAGCUCUGGGAUAAGCCCGGGAAACUGGGUCUAAUACCGGAUAUGACUCCGCAUCGCAUGGUGUGGGGUGGAAAGCCUUGUGCGGCUGAGGAUGGGCCCGCGGCCUAUCAGCUUGUUGGUGGGGUAGUGGCCUACCAAGGCGACGACGGGUAGCCGGCCUGAGAGGGCGACCGGCCACACUGGGACUGAGACACGGCCCAGACUCCUACGGGAGGCAGCAGUGGGGAAUAUUGCGCAAUGGGCGAAAGCCUGACGCAGCGACGCCGCGUGAGGGAUGACGGCCUUCGGGUUGUAAACCUCUUUCAGCUCCGACGAAGCCUUCGGGUGACGGUAGGGGCAGAAGAAGCACCGGCCAACUACGUGCCAGCAGCCGCGGUAAUACGUAGGGUGCAAGCGUUGUCCGGAAUUAUUGGGCGUAAAGAGCUCGUAGGCGGUUUGUCGCGUCGACUGUGAAAACUCAGGGGCUCAACUCCGAGCUUGCAGUUGAUACGGGCAGACUAGAGUUCGGCAGGGGAGACUGGAAUUCCUGGUGUAGCGGUGAAAUGCGCAGAUAUCAGGAGGAACACCGGUGGCGAAGGCGGGUCUCUGGGCCGAUACUGACGCUGAGAGCGAAAGCGUGGGGAGCGAACAGGAUUAGAUACCCUGGUAGUCCACGCCGUAAACGUUGGGCGCUAGGUGUGG
rnacentral:rRNA from 1 species